GGGCGGGAGGCGGGCAGCGGGCAGCGGGGGGGGGGCGACGGGCCCUCUCCUGCCCCCGCCUCACGCCGGGCUCCCGUGCCGCCGCCGGCAGGGCGGAGGGGUCGGCAGCCGCGGCCGCCAUGUUGUCUCCCUUCUGCCCCAGAGCCCCCGGGGACGGGGGGGUCCCUGGCCGCCGGCAGAGGGGAGCCCGCCCAAGACCGUCCCGGGCCGACGGGGCCCAUCGCUGCCCGCCCGUGCCGCCGCCGGUGCGGUUUCCAUCCCGCCGCCCGACCCUGGCCGCCCCCCACGCUCCAGCCGGGGCCUGCGGCUGACAGGGCCGCCGCGGGUGCGCGCCGCCCGCCCUCCGCGCGCUGCCGUAGUCACCUGGCCCGGUGGGGACGGGGACGGGGACGGCGCCGGGACGGGCACGGCGCCAGGGCCGGCGCGACUCAGAGCUGCCGCUAAGCGGCCGCUCCCCGACACGCCUCCGGCCGGAGCCGGCGAGGGACCGGAGCCGAGCGCCUGGUGCCGGGGCCGCGGGACUGGUUUCCCUGCUUCCAGUUGCAGCGCCGCGGGUUUAUCGCGGGAGCAGCGCGGCCGGUGCCCUGUGCUGCCUCCAGCCCGCCCUGGCGCGGGGCAGAGCCCGCGGCGCAGCCCUGCUGGGGCGGGAGGAGAAAGCCCGGCCGGCUGCCGGGCCCCCUUCGCCGCCACGGCACGCUGGCGAUGCCGGUGCGGGCCGCAGGGUACCAGCCAUUCCGUAAAAGUAACACAAAACAGAGGAAAAGAGAUUAAGAAGGCAAAAAGAGUUGCCUUCUUUCUUCUCACUAAGCGUCAAAGUAAACUACGGUAGUUUUCCUGUGAAGACUUCAUUAUAUAUGACAAUGUAAUUCAUCAAAGAUUCCAGUGACUGGAAUGAAAAUACAGACCAUCAGUGGACAGCAAAGGCAUGAAGUUCUCUGAUGCAUAGCAGAAAGAGGCCAUAUCUGAAGAAAUCUGGAUCUAUGGUGGUCUGUCUAAUCUGUCUGUCCAUAUAUCUGUUCUGUGUUCUACCUUCAGCUGGUUCAAAAUCUAUUUUACUGUAUUGUACCACUUACUGCUCUGCAAAGUGAAAUCAGUAUGUGGUUCUGGAAAAAAUCACGUCAAAGGUGUUCAGAGCUAAUUUAUCAUUUGGAAAAUGGAUAAGUCAGGCAGCGUCCUUCUUUAACCAAUCAACAAUUCCAUAAAUUUAUGUCUUAGUCACCUAUGUAUGAUAUUAAAUUCUGCUUAGAGAACAAACAAAUGAAAAAUAAGCAACAAGGUUACCUUUUCUAUAAUCACCAAAUUUUUAAUUGGGUUGAAUUUCAUGUGUGCAACAUAUUGUAUAUGAAGCAGCAUCACAUAAAAUAUUGGUUCUGUAGAAUUUUUGCCUUGAACAGUUUGGCAUUUUUCCUCAGUUUCUUUUUCUUGUUAAUUGCUGUCUAAGUAUUACACACUUUGAAGAGCUGAAUAACGUUAUAAGUUAUUUUGCUGAAUCAACAUCUCAGCAAAUGUGCUUUAUCAUCAUGAUACACACAUUUGCUGAUUAUAGCACUGAGCUUGAAUAUCAAAAUAUGCAAAAGCAUUUUUAAGUUGUCCUUUCUCUUUCCUCAUAUCUUCAAGUGUAACUCAAGGAAGAUCAUUAUUUUUGUCCUUGAAAGUCAUUGUCUAUUUUUAUUCUGAUUUCCUGCAGUACAUUCUUUAUAUUGGUGCAACGAUAAGGUGUCAAUGGCUAUGUUAUUGUGUGAAGUCUAUUUAAUUGAUUUCUGGUGGGAAUUCUGAAACCUCUCAAUGAAAAUAAUUAUUUGCUUUCAUCUUCAAACUUUACACAAUAGUGUUCCCAUAAAAGCCAUAAGAUCUUUUCUUUCAUUGCAAAAAUUUCUCUACAUUUAUCUGUGUCUUGAUUUAGUACAGUUAGUUUUACAUGCAAGUAUUAUAAAUUCUGUUAUUAAAAUAUGUCCUUUGCUUAACAUG